rnacentral:rRNA from 1 species
UACGUAGGUGGCAAGCGUUGUCCGGAUCUACUGGGCGUAAAGAGCGCGCAGGCGGUCGUGCAAGUCGCGUGUGAAAGCCCCCGGCUCAACUGGGGAGGGUCACGCGAUACUGCUCGACUCGAAGGCAGGAGAGGGAAGUGGAAUUCCCGGUGUAGUGGUGAAAUGCGUAGAUAUCGGGAGGAACACCAGUGGCGAAGGCGACUUCCUGGCCUGUUCUUGACGCUGAGGCGCGAAAGCUAGGGUAGCAAACGGG